GGGGAUGUUCCAGAGUUGGCCAAAUGGGACGGACUGUAAAUCCGUUAGCUUUGCUUUCAGUGGUUCGAAUCCGCUCAUCCCCACCA
rnacentral:tRNA from 6 species